rnacentral:rRNA from 1 species
UACGGAGGGUGCGAGCGUUGUCCGGAAUCACUGGGCGUAAAGGGCGCGUAGGCGGCCUGAUAAGUAGGGGGUGAAAUCCUGCGGCUUAACUGUGGGCUUGCGGUCGAUACGGGCAUCACUGGAGUUCGGCAGGGGAGACUGGAAUUCCUGGUGUAGCGGUGAAAUGCGCAGAUAUCAGGAGGAACACCGGUGGCGAAGGCGGAUCUCUGGGCCAUUACUGACGCUGGAGGAGCGAAAGCGUGGGGAGCGAACAGG